AUUAAUAUGACAGAUUAGUGUGAUGAAUUUAAGAUUCAUUUAUGAGUUAUUUCUAUUAAUA
rnacentral:tRNA from 1 species